AGUGAACGCUGGCGGCGUGCUUAACACAUGCAAGUCGAACGAGAACGGAUUAUAGCUUGCUAUAAUUGUCAGCUAAGUGGCGCACGGGUGAGUAAUGUAUAGGUAAUAUGCCUCUUACUAAGGGAUAACAAAUGGAAACGUUUGCUAAUACCUUAUACUCCUUAUUAACAGAAGUUAAUAAGGGAAAGAUUUAUUGGUAAGAGAUUAGCCUGUAUUGUACCAGUUAGUUGGUGGGGUAAUGGCUUACCAAGACUAUGACACAUAACUGGUUUGAGAGGAUGAUCAGUCACACUGGAACUGAGACACGGUCCAGACUCCUACGGGAGGCAGCAGUGGGGAAUAUUGCACAAUGGACGAAAGUCUGAUGCAGCAACGCCGCGUGGAGGAUGACACAUUUCGGUGCGUAAACUCCUUUUAUAUGAGAAGAUAAUGACGGUAUUAUAUGAAUAAGCACCGGCUAACUACGUGCCAGCAGCCGCGGUAA
rnacentral:rRNA from 1 species